rnacentral:rRNA from 1 species
GCCGGCAGCUAGCUCUCUGUAACUCUCACAUGGUCGCCCACUGAAGGUAAGCAGGGCUGUGCCCGGUCAAUCCCUGGAUGGGAGACCACAUGGGAAAGCUAGGUUGCUGCCGGAA